rnacentral:rRNA from 1 species
GACGAACGCUGGCGGCGUGCCUAAUACAUGCAAGUAGAACGCUGAAGGAGGAGCUUGCUUCUCUGGAUGAGUUGCGAACGGGUGAGUAACGCGUAGGUAACCUGCCUGGUAGCGGGGGAUAACUAUUGGAAACGAUAGCUAAUACCGCAUAAUAGUAGAUGUUGCAUGACAUUUGCUUAAAAGGUGCAAUUGCAUCACUACCAGAUGGACCUGCGUUGUAUUAGCUAGUUGGUGGGGUAACGGCUCACCAAGGUGACGAUACAUAGCCGACCUGAGAGGGUGAUCGGCCAAACUGGGAAUGAGACACGGCCCAGAAUCCUACGGGAAGCAGCAGUAGGGAAUCUUCGGCAAUGGACGGAAGUCUGACCGAGCAACGCCGCGUGAGUGAAGAAGGGUUUCGGAUCGUAAAGCUCUGUUGUAAGAGAAGAACGAGUGUGAGAGUGGAAAGUUCACACUGUGACGGUAUCUUAACAGAAAGGGACGGCUAACUACGUG